ACAUAAUUCAUGGUUUUUUUUCUGUUUAGGUGAACCUGGUGCCGAGGGCCCAUCUGGGCCUAGGGGUCGAGAUGGGCCAACCGGUCCCCGAGGUGAUGUGGGAUCCCCUGGACUUGGAGAGAAAGGUGACAAAGGCUCUCCAGGUGAACCUGGAGCUCCAGGGCCUGCUGGACCAGUUGGACCCAUGGGGCCCAAAGGUUUUGAUGGCAGGAGUGGUCCUGCAGGUGCGCCAGGUGAGUGACGUGUCGCUGCUGAUCAGUGUCGACUUGUUGAUCGCCACUGAGACGGCACAAAUUUGAUUUGAGAUCGUACUACUGAAUGACAGGUGCACCAGGUCCACAAGGUUUUCGAGGAGAAGCUGG
rnacentral:lncRNA from 1 species